rnacentral:lncRNA from 1 species
CCCAACUAAUACAAACCUAAUCACUAGCCAAAAAUAAUCAAAUAUAGCUGACCAAUCAGCCAUUACAUCAAAAGAUCUUAUCACUAACUUAAGUUUAACUAGUAUUACAAACAAACUAAAAUUGAACCGAACCAAAUUACAUCAAAACAAAACAGCAAAGUUGGUUGCUUCAUUCGGUUCAAAAACCAUUCGUGCGCACCAAGCAAAAUGAGCUGAGCUCGAUAGCUGCUGGUCUCGACAGUAGCAAGCUUCUGGCUCCAUGUUGCAUUGCAGUCCAGCUUUCAACACUCCUCCUUGGACUGUAUGCAACACAUUCCAAUUGCACUUCUCAAAGAUUCAAAUCGAGCAGCCCCUAAGGGCUUGGUCAUUAUGUCAGCCAAUUGUGCUCCUGAGCUGCAAUGCACAAGGCUGACUUCCUUUGCUUGUUCAGCCUCUCUAACAAAAUGCAGUUUGAUUUUAAAAUGCUUAGUCUUACCAUGGAACACAGGGUUCUUGGCUAUUGCAACUGCAGACUGAUUAUCCACCCAAAUUUCAGUUGCUUCAUCUUGAGUUUCAUUAAGGUCGUAAAGCAGCUUCCUUAGCCAAAUGGCCUGAUUAACUGCUCCUGCUGCAACAAUGUACUCUGCUUCAGCUGUGGACUGAGCAACAGUUUGUUGCUUCUUUGAACUCCAGCAAAACAUGCCCGAUCCAAGUGUGAAGAAGUAUCCAGAGGUACUCUUCAUGUCAUCAAGAGAUCCUGCCCAGUCACUGUCAGAGUAGCCUUCUAGUUUCAGUUGGUUCCGACUUUCAAACAUUACACCAAAACUAGCAGUGCCCUUGAUGUAUCUAAGGACCCUCUUUGCUGCCUUCAAAUGUGCCUCAUUGCAACAAUGCAUAAAUCUCGAUAACAGGCUGACACCAAACAUGAUGUCUGGCCUGGUUGCUGUUAGAUACAACAGACAACCAACUAGGCUUCGAUAGUGCCUCUCAUCAACCCUCUGAUGAUCACCACUGCUAGUCAGCUUUUCUCCUUGAGCCACAGGUGUGCUGACUGCUUUACAGUUAUGCAUGCAAAAUUUGUCUAGGAUCUUCAAAGCAAAUGAGUGUUGGCUGAUGAAGAUACCUCGAUCAGACUGGUGCACUUCCAUGCCAAGGAAGUAAGUCAUGAUCCCCAAAUCUGUCAUCUCAAAUACUUGCUGCAUUUGGACCUUGAACUGAUCAAUGAGCUCAAUUUUGCUCCCUGUCACAAGCAAAUCAUCCACAUACAAGGAGACAAUCAGCAAGGUUUCAUGUUCUGACCUUUUGACAUACAGAGUAGGCUCACUAAGGCUCUUUACAAAUCCAAGUUUGGUCAAGUAAGCAUCAACUCUGUCAUACCAGGCCCUUGGUGCCUGUUUCAGGCCAUAGAGGGCCUUUUUCAACUUAUACACUUUGUCUUCAUGUCCAACAACUUCAAAACCUUCAGGUUGCUCGAUGAAGAUCUCCUCCUUGAGAAAACCAUUCAGGAAUGCUGAUUUGACAUCCAAUUGGUGAACUCUCCACUGCUUCUGAGCUGCUAAAGCAAACAGCAGCUUAAUUGUAUCCAGUCUUGCCACUGGAGCAAAAGUUUCUAGGUAGUCAACACCAUACUGCUGACUGUAGCCCUUCACCACAAGCCUGGCCUUGUGCUUGUUCAGUGAGCCAUCAGCAUUGUACUUGGCCCGGUAAGCCCAUUUAACUCCUAUGACCCUCUUGUGUUCUGGUCUGCUCACCAACUCCCAAGUCUGAUUUUUGUUGAUCAUUUCCAACUCAGCUUCCAUAGCUUUCAUCCAGCUUCUGUUCUUAGCAGCCUCUUCAAAGUCUGAGGGCUCAAUCACAGCAACAUUGCACCUCUGAUAGACAUCAGCUAAAGUUCUGGUGCCCCUCACUGGUAUAUCAUCGACAGCAUCAUUACUUGGUCCUUCUUCUGCAGGUUCAGCAACCAAGUCUAACUGGUCCAAUUCAGACAAGUCAGCCUCAACACCAUUCCAAUUCCACACCUUUUCCUCAUCAAACUUUACAUCCCUGCUGACUAAAACCUUCUUUGCUGUAGGAUCAUACACUCUAUAUCCCUUCUUGUUGCUGCUGUAGCCAACAAAGAUUCCUGGAGUUGCUCUGCUCUCAAGCUUGGUCCUUUUCUCUACUGGAAUAAGUGCAUAACAUACACAGCCAAACACCUUUAAGUGUGUUACCACAGGUUUGACUCCAUGCCAAGCCUCAAAAGGAGUCUUAUCCUUAACUGCUCUAGUUGGCAGUCUGUUGAACAGAUACACUGAGGUGUUGACUGCCUCAGCCCAAAACUGACUUGGAAGCUUGCCUUGAAACAAGAGGCACCUGGCCAUGUUCAGUACAGUCCUAUUCUUUCUCUCACAGACUCCAUUCUGUUGAGGAGUAUAGACUGUUGUAAGCUGAUGGUGAAUCCCAGCACUGUCACAAAGCUUCUGAAAUCUCUCAGACACAUAUUCAGAGCCAUUAUCAGUCCUCAAGGCUCUAAUUUUGUAGCCUGACUGAUUUUCAGCAUAAGCCUUGAAUUUGCAGAAGGCUUCAAACACUUCUGACUUUUGCUUCAAGAAGUAGACCCAGCACAACCUUGUUAGAUCAUCUAUAAACAGGGCAAAGUACCUGUUCUCACUGAUUGAAGGUGUUCUCAUAGGGCCACAAACAUCAGAGUGCACCAAUUCGAGCUUGUUUUGAGCUCUCCAAGCACUGUCAGCAGAAAAAGGCAGUCUAGCCUGCUUACCAAGCUGACAAACCUCACAAACAUUCCCACUAACUUCAAUUUUUGAAAUGUCAUCAACCAAAUUCAGCCUAUGUAACAGAUCGAUGGAUCUAAAAUUUGCAUGGCCUAGUCUUCUAUGCCACAAGUCAGUGCUUUCAACAAGGCUGGUGUAUGCCUUUCUUUCUAUUUGGCUAACAUCCAGCAUGAAGCACCUAUCAGUCAUAGAGACUGUGACUAACUCCAGACCAUUCAUGUCUUGAACAAUACAGCAACCAUCCUUAAAAACCAAUGUAUAGCCCUUUUCAACUAAUUGGCCUACACUAAGCAAAUUCUGGUCUAAGUCAGGUACAAAAAACACAUCUGAGAUCAGCUUGUUACCUGAACCAGUGCUAAUCAACACACUGCCCUUGCCUUUAGCCUCAAUCAGCCUACCAUCUCCAAUUCUAAUCCUCGAGUGGAAGCUUCUGUCUAGGCCUUUGAACAGCUUCUCAUCUGCUGCCAUAUGGUGUGAGCAGCCACUGUCUAGUAGCCAAUCAUUGCUGGCCUUGGUUGUGCCAACAAAACAAGUUGCUGUGAACACUUGCUCCUCCUGAGCUUGAAUGUCCUCAGCAGGUCUAGCUUGUUGCAGAGCAGCCUCCCUUGGUUUGCCCUUGCACACCUUCUCCACAUGGCCAAACUGCUUGCAUUUUCUACACUGAAUAUCUGGCCUAAACCAGCAAUACUUUUCUGAAUGUGUUGUCUUCUUGCAAUGAACACAUGGUGGGAACACCCUUUUUGCUUCAUCUCUUCCUGACUUGACCCUUCUAUUGUGCCAAGGCUUCUUGCCUUUUGCACUCACACUCGAGCCUUCACUGGCUUUAGCCUGGAAAGCAGCUUCUGGAUUCUCCUCCUGCCUAUUUGCCCUCCUUUGCUCAAGUGCAUAUAGGGAGUUUAUCAGCUCAGACAAUGAAAUGGCUGAUAAGUCCCUCGAGUCCUCAAGUGAAGAGAUUUUAGACUCAAAUUUCUCAGGGAGAGUUGUUAUAACCUUUUCAACAACUCUGCUCUCUAUGAAGUCCACUCCCAGGAGCCUAAUGCUGUUGACAAUGGCCAUUAUCCUGUCUGAGUACUGCUUGAUGGUCUCAGACUCCUUCAUCCUCAAAUUUUCAAAGUCUCUCCUGAUGUUGAUCACUUGCUGUUGCCUUGUCUUAUCAGUCCCCAUGAACUCCUCCUUCAGCUUCUCCCAAGCCUGCUUUGGUGAGUCACAGGCCAUGAUGCGAGUAAAUAUCACAUCAGAGACUCCAUUUUGCAAGCAGGCCAUAGCCUUAUGCUUCUUGGCUCGCUCCUCAGUAUGUUGCCUCAUCUGUGCAAUGGUGGGAUUGGCUCUCAAUGGAGGUGGUUCAGCAUCAUUCUCGAUCACACUCCAAAGAUCAUGUGCCUGGAGAUAAGUCUUCAUUUUAACUAUCCAAAUGUGAUAGUUUUCUCCAGUGAACACUGGUGGAGGUGGUGGAGUGAAACUCAUUCUGCUAAACUGAUUUUAAGUGCUUCAAUCUUACCAAAUUUUGAACUUGCUGUUGGUUUUGAUUCGAACACAACAGAUUGCAUACAAAGGCCCCUCAAAGACUCGGGCUCAUGAUACCAUUUGUUGGAACAAUGGCAGCAGCAAACAUCAAACAAAGUUACAACACAGUGUUUGCAAGACUGAAGCAAGAAGAAUCGAAGCAAAGAAAGAGCAAAGCAAAGCAAAAAUUUGAUCAAAAUUGAAUACUCAGCAAAGUUGUAACUGAACAUCACUCAUUUUUCAUUCAAAUUUGAAAUAUAAAAGAGUUACAAUGUACAUUGACAGUUACCUAAUGUAUUUAACUGCCCCAACUAAUACAAACCUAAUCACUAGCCAAAAAUAAUCAAAUAUAGCUGACCAAUCAGCCAUUACAUCAAAAGAUCUUAUCACUAACUUAAGUUUAACUAGUAUUACAAACAAACUAAAAUUGAACCGAACCAAAUUACAUCAAAACAAAACAGCAAAGUUGGUUGCUUCAUUCGGUUCAAAAACCAUUCGUGCGCACCAAGCAAAAUGAGCUGAGCUCGAUAGCUGCUGGUCUCGACAGUAGCAAGCUUCUGGCUCCAUGUUGCAUUGCAGUCCAG